AAAAAUCCUAAAAUCAUUAUUAAGGUUGUAUUUUUUCUCUAAAAUUGUCUUUCUGAAAGUUAUAAGAAGCAAAGUAAAAAAACAAAUUAAUGUAUUUAAACAAGUGAAGACCAAGUCUUUGAAAUAUUUUCUUGGAUUUUCAAAUUCUAUUUGAGUUUUGUCUCUCUUAGAAUUAAAAAUGUCGAGGAAAUCGACACCAACUUGCUCGUAAAUAAAUACAAUUUAAGAAAUAGAGGCAGCUCACUGGUAAGUGCUGCUAUUUGAGCUAUUUUUAGAACAGGCCAGCGGGCGACUCAUCUGGUCCUUACGGGCGUGUUGGUGACCCCUGCUCUAGACAUUUCACAUAUUUGCACUUGUAUCCUAUGACCACCAGAGGGCACCAUUGCCUAUUGAACACUUUGAUUGGACCCCCAGCCUCCUUGAAUGGUAACAUUCAGGUCAUUCAAUAAUAGCUGAGAUAGGCACCAGCGACCCCAAAGGGGAAUAAGCGGUAGGAAAUGGAUGGAUGGAUGGAUGUUAGUGCACCAGUCGAGGAAAAUAAUCAAACUGUUGUCUCUCUGUGUUGGCCCUGCGAUGAGGUGGCGACUUGUCCAGGGUGUACACCGCCUUCCGCCCGAUUGUAGCUGAGAUAGGCACCAGCGACCCCAAAGGGGAAUAAGCGGUAGGAAAUGGAUGGAUGGAUGGAUGUUAGUGCACCAGUCGAGGAAAAUAAUCAAACUGUUGUCUCUCUGUGUUGGCCCUGCGAUGAGGUGGGGACUUGUCCAGGGUGUACACCGCCUUCCACCUGAUUGUAGCUGAGAUAGGCACCAGCGCCCCCCGCGACCCCAAAGGGGAAUAAGCGGUGGCGACUUGUCCAGGGUGUACACCGCCUUCCACCCGAUUGUAGCUGAGAUAGGCACCAGCGCCCCCCGCGGACCCAAAAAGGGAAUAAGCGGUAGUAAAUGGAUGGAUGGAUAAAUAACAUACUGUAAUUUGAUUUUGAUAUUAUGUUUUUAUCUUGAUAGAUUGAAAAUGAACACGAAUGAGUUAACUGAUGUACAUUAUCACAUAAUUCAUUCAGAAAGUAUAAAUAACGUCCAAAAAAAGAUAGAUUAUUAUCAAACGCAACAUGUAAGUGUAAAAAAAAAAAUAGCCACAACAUAUUGAUUUGUACAUUUUCUUGUUCUAUUUUAAAACAAAUACAACAA